CUUUAGAAUCCUAAUUGAAUACACCCCCCUAAAAGUCCAUAAACCUUUUAUUUUCAAAGGCCAUUCCAUAACCCUACUUCACCUCUCUCACUCCACUUCACUUUCUUUGAGCCGCCUUCUCCCUUCUCUCUUCAACAACUCUUUCUCUUAUUCUUCUUCUUCUCAGCAUCAUCUCCUCUCUCUCUCUCAUUCAUUUUCAUCCUGGCAAACCUACCCAACCCUGAUCUCGUAUUUGAAGCUCAAAUUAUUGGUUCUUGAUUUUUCAUUUGGGCGUUAUAUAAUCCACCAAAGUGAUGGUCCGGCCCCAUCACAUGAAAAGCUUUGCUCUGAGAGCUGCUUUGGAUGAGGUAUCUGCUCUUGACCCACCUCCUCCUUCGUCUUCUGGAAGUAAGCGCAAACCAACCCUGAGUUCGUAGCGUCUUUGAAGCUCAAA